UACGUAGGGUCCGAGCGUUGUCCGGAAUUACUGGGCGUAAAGGGCGCGUAGGCGGCCACCGCAAGUCGACUGUGAAAUCUCCGGGCUUAACUCGGAAAGGUCAGCCGAUACUGCGGGGCUAGAGUGCAGAAGGGGCAACUGGAAUUCUCGGUGUAGCGGUGAAAUGCGUAGAUAUCGAGAGGAACACCUGCGGCGAAGGCGGGUUGCUGGGCCGACACUGACGCUGAUGCGCGAAAGCCAGGGGAGCGAACGGG
rnacentral:rRNA from 1 species